rnacentral:lncRNA from 1 species
CCUUCGCAAACAGUCAUAAAAUUAUAUAAGUAGCACUCCCAUUGAUCAACAAAUGAUUUAAAAGUAAAGAACUGCUAGUAUCUUGUGGACUCCCGUAGUUUUUCUGGAUGAAGUUUAAUUAAAGAGUGUACCAGAUUGUUUGCUCUUCAGAAAAUAGGAGCCAACUCAAUUACUCAUAGUCAUAGACAAACUAGAUAUAUGCAUGGAGCAAAAAUAAAUAAAUAAAUAAAUAAAAUAAGAUAAAAUAAAAUUCGAUUGCUAAAAUACGAGAAGGUCCUUCCGGUGAAUCCAAUCGAAUCCGCAAUAAUGAUAAGGACAAAAUCACUGAUUCAUAGAAAUUAUUUAACUGUGCUUAAAUAUUACAAAUUAUUUAACUGCGCUUAAAUAUAAGGCUGAAGAGAAGAAAUUAGACCUGAGUUUCUUCUUCGUGCAGAUAGGGAGAGCGAGAAUCGACACGGCGUUUCCAUAAAUAAAGCGGAAUUAACCAUAAAAGAAGCAUCAUCAUCAGUAAUCCCACGACUAUAUCCUCCAUUUUCCCAGUAAUAUUCGAUUGCUAAAAUACGAGAAGGUCCUUCCGGUGAAUCCAAUCGAAUCCGCAAUAAUGAUAAGGCCAAAAUCACUGAUUCAUAAACAAUAAAAUCGAUC